CGCUGCUUGGGGCAGCCUCAUGGGUAGAGCUCUGCAAGACCAGGGCUGGUGGGUGCUCCACUUGCAGGGGAUGCGCUUCUCCAGCUCUGCUGGCUGCUUGGUGCCCCGUGAGGAGAACUUGGAAAUGCUGUGCCCUUCAGCUCACAAAGUUUCCUGGCUCUUGCAGUCUGAUUUUCCAGGAAAGGGUACAAUCUAAACCCUCCAAUGAUUUGGUUAGCUGUUUUUCUUAAAAUUAAGGGAUUCAAAAUAAUGCCAAAUUGCUACCCAUGCCCUGGAGGACUAGGAGGCAAGCCAAAAAUGUGUUGUCACAAUGCACAUUACCUGAAAUUUUCACUAAAUUAAAAAGGGCUGUGAAGAAGUGACUCCCAAACUAUUUUAAAAAGUAGUUGCUGAAGAACUACUUCUGAAACACCCAUGAGACGUGAAGAACAACCGGUGAUCUCCUACAGGGAACAAUCUGCCACCAGAAGAGCUGUGCAUUUAAGUGAUUGUUUUGGCUCUGUUGCCAACUCAUGCCCUCAUUCUAAGGCGCACACAAAAACCAUAAAAUAAAAAAAUUAAAACAAAAAGUGUUUCUUGGGAAAGGAAAUCCUAAGAACAUUGAAUGUGUUCAAAAGACAUUCAUUUGGGUACUUGCAGAUGAAGGAAAUAAAUGCCAGAUUCACAGAAGCUGAGGUGGAACACGCAUCGGGACUGGAGAACUAGUUCAGUUUCCAUCUCUUGGAAGAAAUGUGUGCACGUGCCACACAGGACAACAUUUUUAGUAAUCCCCUGUAAGGUGGCUGUGUCUGCUCAUGGUUUGGAGCGUUGCUCCUUGGUCUCUUCCAGUGAGACAUCCACUUUGUGUGCUGCAUUUUAUGUUCACACAGUCUAGGAACCAAACAACCACUUUCCUGCUGUGUGGGUCGUUUUCACAUUCAGCUCUGGCAAACAUUAAAAGCAGUUUGUUCCAAGAAGAUUAACUUCAAAUGGACUGCCUAAGGUAACCCAGAAGAGUUUAAAGUGACCUAGCAGCCACUUGUAGGAUAGUCAUCUGCAAGAUGGAAGAGCUAGGUUAAAACCUGCCUUUAAAAGAAGCACCACAGCUUUGAAUGGGCAUUCAGUACUUCCCAGUAAAGCCCCUAAGUGCCUCUGUGUCUCAGGAUUCUAUUUGAACUGAGCAAAGCUGGCUAGUGUUUGAGUACUCUUCAGAUAAGCUCUGGGAAAUCAGGCAAGAAUAGUGUUUCAGAUUAUUGAGAAAGAUGAAGAAAUUGCUUGAUGUCACUGCGCUGAUGAUGGGAAGACCCUUAUUUCUCCUUUCUUCUCUUCCUCGUAUGUGGAACUAGAGAGAACACGAGUAAGAGUGCAGCAGGAUCGCCUGUCAUCGCCUGUGGUGGGGGUGGAGAAACCUGGUCCUUCCAUGCCACCUAGUGUAGGAAGCUGAGCAGCAGCCCUGCGAGGAUGGGCUCUGCAAGGUGGGGUCGUUAAGCAGGAAAUAACGGAGACCUGAAGCCUGCCACGAAAUGAGCCACCUCUGCCCUGCAGCUUCCUGAAUUUUGCUCUGCCACUUAUUUUAUUGUCUCCAGUGGAUUUCUGACUGAGGUGUCCAGCCACUGUCCUGAUGGGGCUGAUAGGCAACAUUACCUCCAGCCAGGAUUGAUCCUUCCUUGCAUUGGGUUUAAAAGCAGAUCUUGUCCUUCCUCCUCCCUACCCUCACCUGUGUACAGGCUUCCAUGCUCCCACAUGCUUUCACUGUGGCAUAAAUAAGGUUUUAUGUGGUGUGUAAAUAAGGAAAUCCCUAGAAGCAAAAGAGCACUUUAGAAGUUUGGCUUGCGUGAUGGCAAAAUGAUGACAUGUAACUUCAACACUAAUGAAGGCCGUAUGUGUGCAACGUGUUGAGAAAUGGGUGAAACAUAACACAGGGGAAGAAGAGAUGGAAUGUCAUCAUAUGUUUUCCAUUUGCAUCCACAUUAGAAAAAAAAAAAAGAUACAGUAUUUCUACUCUUUCCAAGGCGAUGUGAUGUAUGUGUCUGGUUCCAUUAUUAAAGAGAGAUCAAAAUGAUUUUAAAUAUGUUUUAGUAUUAAAGCAAUAUAAAGUGAAUGUUGGCUAUUUUGAGUCAUCAGACGCACUCUUGGCCUUUCUGCUUUUUCCUGUUCUUGGAACUCCCCCAUAUUUCUAGUUAACAGAACCCCUGAAGAUGACUGAUGUUUAAAUAUUUAAACUACCUCUUUUUUUUUUUAACUUUUUUUUCUAGCGUAAUUAUUGAUCCCACAAUGCUUAGUGUGUAAGAAGCAAUCCUGAGUUCCUGAAGUAAAAACCACCUUCCAAAAGCCAGGCUUUUAAAAGAUGAGUCAUUGGCUGGCACUUGCAUGUUUUUUUGGCACUUAGCUUAAAGUAAGAAGUUUUGAGGAGAACUUGUGUGUAACAAGUUUGUUUUUUACUUUUCUUUUUUUUUUUCCUCUAAAGAGUGCUUGGCCUACAGCCUGUCAACUUUCAAAGAAAAAUGAUGACAUGUAACUUGUGUAAUAAACCCGCAGUGUCCUGGAUGAAACUAGGGGGCACUCUUGUAUGUGGUGUUUAACUCCUUCCUGCACAUUCCGCAAUUUUCUAUGUCCUUCUUGUAUUUGUGCAAGAACAGGAAGGCAGGACUGAGGUGAAACAGUCCAAGGGGCCGUAUUUCUCUAGGCACACAUCUUUUUCUCUGCUGGAUCUGUGAGGGGCUGCCAGAGCUUUGGUUUCCUCUGGGGCUGCAGAAGCCAAGGUUUCUCACUAGCUCCCGUUGCUUCUUCCUCAUUUCCACAUGAUUAUUAUCCCCAG
ensembl:lncRNA